AUUGAACGCUGGCGGCAGGCCUAACACAUGCAAGUCGAGCGGUAGCACAGAGAGCUUGCUCUCGGGUGACGAGCGGCGGACGGGUGAGUAAUGUCUGGGAAACUGCCUGAUGGAGGGGGAUAACUACUGGAAACGGUAGCUAAUACCGCAUAACGUCGCAAGACCAAAGUGGGGGACCUUCGGGCCUCAUGCCAUCAGAUGUGCCCAGAUGGGAUUAGCUAGUAGGUGGGGUAACGGCUCACCUAGGCGACGAUCCCUAGCUGGUCUGAGAGGAUGACCAGCCACACUGGAACUGAGACACGGUCCAGACUCCUACGGGAGGCAGCAGUGGGGAAUAUUGCACAAUGGGCGCAAGCCUGAUGCAGCCAUGCCGCGUGUGUGAAGAAGGCCUUCGGGUUGUAAAGCACUUUCAGCGGGGAGGAAGGCGGUGAGGUUAAUAACCUCAUCGAUUGACGUUACCCGCAGAAGAAGCACCGGCUAACUCCGUGCCAGCAGCCGCGGUAAUACGGAGGGUGCAAGCGUUAAUCGGAAUUACUGGGCGUAAAGCGCACGCAGGCGGUCUGUCAAGUCGGAUGUGAAAUCCCCGGGCUCAACCUGGGAACUGCAUUCGAAACUGGCAGGCUAGAGUCUUGUAGAGGGGGGUAGAAUUCCAGGUGUAGCGGUGAAAUGCGUAGAGAUCUGGAGGAAUACCGGUGGCGAAGGCGGCCCCCUGGACAAAGACUGACGCUCAGGUGCGAAAGCGUGGGGAGCAAACAGGAUUAGAUACCCUGGUAGUCCACGCCGUAAACGAUGUCGAUUUGGAGGUUGUGCCCUUGAGGCGUGGCUUCCGGAGCUAACGCGUUAAAUCGACCGCCUGGGGAGUACGGCCGCAAGGUUAAAACUCAAAUGAAUUGACGGGGGCCCGCACAAGCGGUGGAGCAUGUGGUUUAAUUCGAUGCAACGCGAAGAACCUUACCUGGUCUUGACAUCCACAGAACUUAGCAGAGAUGCUUUGGUGCCUUCGGGAACUGUGAGACAGGUGCUGCAUGGCUGUCGUCAGCUCGUGUUGUGAAAUGUUGGGUUAAGUCCCGCAACGAGCGCAACCCUUAUCCUUUGUUGCCAGCGGUUCGGCCGGGAACUCAAAGGAGACUGCCAGUGAUAAACUGGAGGAAGGUGGGGAUGACGUCAAGUCAUCAUGGCCCUUACGACCAGGGCUACACACGUGCUACAAUGGCAUAUACAAAGAGAAGCGACCUCGCGAGAGCAAGCGGACCUCAUAAAGUGCGUCGUAGUCCGGAUUGGAGUCUGCAACUCGACUCCAUGAAGUCGGAAUCGCUAGUAAUCGUAGAUCAGAAUGCUACGGUGAAUACGUUCCCGGGCCUUGUACACACCGCCCGUCACACCAUGGGAGUGGGUUGCAAAAGAAGUAGGUAGCUUAACCUUCGGGAGGGCGCUUACCACUUUGUGAUUCAUGACUGGGGUG
rnacentral:rRNA from 1 species